CACGCGUCGGCGGGGCGCGCUUUCGAGUCGCUUGUUCUUCCUCUGUGCAUCCGCUCUCCGACUAUUACAUUCAGAAAGUAUUAGCUCAUCACACACACAUGCCACCUCUUCCCAGCUGAGAGAGUACAAGUGUUCUUCAAACCACGAAUGAUAAAAGCAACUGCUUCCAACCCAGAGCAAGCUACCAUUUUGUCAUCUUCCAAAGAGCCAGAGACUAAAUCUGGAGAAGAGCUCGUGGGACAUGAUCUGGAAACAGUUCAAUUGAGCAGGUUCCUCCCAGCCUUGUGCUCCUCCCCAAUCUCCUGGUUCCUUUAACGGCAAGCUAAAGAACUCAGCCGGAUUCGAGACAAAGGACCUAGUCCCAACACAGCUUGUCAACAGAAGAAUGAAGGCCAAGGGCAAGGAUGACUGGAACUCAGCUAACACCAGGUGACACUGUGAUUCAGAUGACAGCAACAAUGGAUGGGGACUGGAUUCCUACCCCUGCUCUAUUUACAAUAGCCAGGACAUGGAAGCAACCUAAGUGUCCAUCAUCGGAUGAAUGGAUGAAGAAGAUGUGGCACAUAUAUACAAUGGAAUAUUACUCAACCAUAAAAAGAAAUGAAAUGGAGGGAAACAAUGCAGACAGCACCCUGCGGCGAGGCGGGAGAAAUGGAGUGCCCCACAGCCAAGGAGCCCCACGGGGAAAUGAGGGACAGCCUUGCCCCAGACUUCAUGUGUGUGAAGUUCAGAAGCAGAAAAGCUAUGAUCUAACAGCCAUGGUUCCGGAGAUGCUAAAUGUGACAAAGCAAUGCUUUUCCUUGGGAAACAUACUCCUGACAUCUACUCAGUGCUGAUAUGCGGCAAGACCUACCCAUCCCUGUUGCUGGCACUGCUCCUGCCUGGCAGUGCCAAGGAACUGUGAAAGUGCAUGCGGGGUUUCCUCAUCUGAGCCUUUGUUCCCCAUUCUCUUAUUCUACUGAGCCCUGAGACUGACACACAGGCCAAUCACACUGUGUGACUGGGUUUCUCGUUUGGGAGCAGAUUUUAUCUCAUGUGUACGUUUAUCCUACACACAAUAAAAAACGGUGUCCCUCCCCAUCCUCAUGAUUCCCUGACCUUAACCCCACUCAUAGCUCCAACAUUUUAGGGAUUAAUAAAAAAGAUAUACGUUUAAUCUUC